rnacentral:rRNA from 1 species
GUGUCAGCAGCCGCGGUAAUACGGAGGGUCCAAGCGUUAUCCGGAAUCAUUGGGUUUAAGGGGUCCGUAGGCGGUCUUAUAAGUCAGUGGUGAAAUCUCUCCGCUCAACGGGGAAACGGCCAUUGAUACUGUAAGACUUGAAUUAUUGUGAAGUAACUAGAAUAUGUAGUGUAGCGGUGAAAUGCUUAGAGAUUACAUGGAAUACCAAUUGCGAAGGCAGGUUACUAACAAUGGAUUGACGCUGAUGGACGAAAGCGUGGGGAGCGAACAGGAUUAGAAACCCGAGUAGUCC